GUAUUUAAAGCAAACGGAGCAAUCAAUGUGUAACCCACAUGGUACCUAAAACCGUUUUGUAGACAAUUGAUAAAAGAUAUCAUUUCAUGAAGGAAGCACCUCAAGAUUCCUAACGCAUGAAUUUCUAAAAAUAUUAAGAACAUGAACAAGUCAAUCAAGAAUAGAUCAUAGUAGCAUGUCACACCGUCAUUCUACAACAUAUUGAAAGCAAUUUGGACAAAUCUACUAUUUCAUCUUACGACUAGCAACAACUAGCCACAGAAAAGACAGCAUUGCAGUUCAAGACAAAUUCCAGAUUUCAAAGCUCAAUUUGAAAAAAGGAAAGGCAGGGCAAAUGAUGGGCAAAUUGGACAAACUAGGCAUCGUUAGAAAGCUUAAGGUGUCCUUUACGAAUUCCUAUUAGGUGACAAUUGCAAUUUAAGUCUUUUUCUAGUUCAAGCAAAGCCAUUUGUAUAAAUGGUCAGAUCAGAUCAUAACAAGCAGAACACAUCAGCAGAUUAGUGCUCUUUGCAAGAAGCAUCAGGCAGGGCAAAUGAUGGUCAAAUCGCACAUAUAAUAUGUCUAUGGAAAGCUUGAGAAGUCUAUUACAAAUCACUAGAAGAUGUUAAGUCCUAAUAACAUCACCUAGCAGUUCAUAUCAAGCGGUUUACACAGAAGGUCAUUCAGAACAGAGAGCAAGUCAGAACACCAAAAUUUUCCAGAAAACUGGUGCUAAAUGCCGAGCUACUUUCAGGUAGUAAACGACAUCGGAUCGGAACGUUCUGUGGGUCGUUGGAAAGGUCUUUGAGUCUUCUUCAACUCUCGUGAAUACAUCGAACACAGAAAACCACAGCAACCAGCUCAUAUCAGGUCAUUUGCACAAAAGGUCAUCCGAAACAGAGAAUCAAUCAGAACAGCAAAUCAACCUUAAAACUACUGCAGAAUUGACAGACUUUGUAGGUGUUUUUCGAUGACUGAACGACAUCCGUUCAGGGCAUGCAACAUAUCAAAUCGAAGCUCUAGAAGUAUAUUUUAUAUGUCUAGAAGGACUCGAGGUCAAAAAACCUCAUCUAGCACCUCUUUUCAGCCGAAACAGUGAGUCACUCAUCCGAAAUCGAAAAUCACAGAAUCUCAGCAUCCAACUGCAAUCAAUUCCAGAUCAUACAAACAUCGAUUUUAAUUAGAUUUGCAAAGCAUCCUGGCCCCGAACCUUCAUUGUCGAUCAUGAAUCACGACACGAGAAACUCUCGCCUCAUCGGAUGAUAUUAAAUGGAGUUUCAUGGCACCCACCUUGGUCCUUAAUGAAUCGGCCAAGAACUGACCUUCGGAGAUGUCCACCAUUUAGUGACAAUGAAGUUGCUAUUUAACAAAAAAAACAUGUACUGAAAUCAGUGGAGGAUCUGAAUCUAAUAACACUCCUUACUGAAAUAGAAAAGAGGAAACCAAACACUUAGCUUCGAUUUUGUUAUUGGAACUCCUGGAAAAUGAAGAACGCUGGCCUUUGAUUCUGUGAUCCUCAAACUCAUCGAAUGAACGCCUCGGCUGCCGAUUUGAAGAUGGUGUAUGCUUCUUUCGAGUUGCAAUCUAGACGCGUUUUUCUCAGCUUCUUCUUCAACAAAAUCAGUGAAAUUAAAUGUCAACAGAAUCUGCUGAAAUCAGAAUCUUUGCGCAACAAAUGUACAAGUAAAGAUUGAGAAGACUCAGCUCAAUCUUCAUUCUGCGAUUUUCUGGAAAUCAGCACAUCAACUACUCUGAAGCAUCUUCAGAGAUUUUGAUGAUCAAGUAACAACGAAGAACUCCUUCGAUCUUCAUCUGUUCCGUCUUCAAUCAAGAGAGAGACCGACCGAGAGACAAAUCCAGAGAGCGAGAGACAGAUCCUGAGCGCGAGAUCCAGCCAGAGAGGAAUCGUCGGAAUCUCUCUUGCGCGCGAGACUACCGGCAAAGCAGAACAAGAAAACGAUUGGAAGCUGUUGCUGCCGCUGCCGUCGUUACCACCAUUGCCAAUCGGCUUUGGAGCUCGAGAAGGUGCAGAUGAGGAAGUCAAGAUCCUCAAGCUAAAGAGAGACCGAUUUCCACCUUGAAUCGAUUCGGCCGUCAAACCCUAGAUCGCUCUUCGAGAUGCAGAGAGAGUCGGAGAGCGCGAUAAUCCCCUCAGCAAGAGAAUACCUCUGAGAGCAUCCGCGCGAACGGUUUUUUUAGAGAGAGAGAGAGAGAGAGAUCGUGAUCCAGAGAGAGCGGGAGCGAGAGAGCGUCUCCAAGAGAAAUCCCCCGUGAAUGGCCC
rnacentral:lncRNA from 1 species